rnacentral:rRNA from 1 species
CAUAGCGACUAUCGUGGCAUAUCAAUAAGCGGAGGAAAAGAAACUAACAAGGAUUCCCCUAGUAACGGCGAGUGAAGCGGGAAGAGCUCAAAUUUGAAAUCUUCAAGGUUUACCUUGACGAAUUGUAGUUUAAAGAAGUGUUUUCUGUUGGAGUUUCGGUAAAAGUUCUUUGGAAUAGGACAUCAUAGAGGGUGAGAAUCCCGUAUUUGACCGUUACUUUCCUAGCUGUGUGAUACACUUUCAAAGAGUCGGAUUGUUUGGGAAUGCAGUCCAAAAUGGGUGGUAAAUUUCAUCUAAAGCUAAAUAUUGGCGAGAGACCGAUAGCGAACAAGUACCGUGAGGGAAAGAUGAAAAGAACUUUGAAAAGAGAGUUAAACAGUACGUGAAACUUGUCAAAAGGGAAGCGUUUGACACCAGUGUUGUUUUCUCGAAAAUCAAUUAAAAAUGAUUGGAUUUUGUGUUAGUAUUGACUUCAUCAGCUUUCUGCACUUUUUCUUAAUCUUUCUUAAUGCACUUUUCGGUUAACAAGUCAACAUCAAUUUCUUUUGUUGUAAAAGAGUCAUGAGGAAGGUGGCUUUCUUUUCGGAGAAAGUGUUUAUAGCCUUUGGCCUUCUGCAAUCGGAGAGAUUGAGGUCUGCAGCGUAGAUCCUUCGGGGUUAGAUAGCAUUUGUGCUAAGUUAUAGCCUUUUCAUAGACAACUUGUUGACUAUGAUCAGUCAUGUAGCUUACUCGCUUAUGCUAUUUUACCUACGCUUAGGAUGUUGACGAGACUGUCGAUCUC